GGCUCUUCCUGAAGCACUCCCGUGGUACAUGAGAGGCCACGCACUUGGCCUCUGGCGCCACCUUGCCCGGGCAGGUGGGCACGCUUCCAGAGACUGGGCGCGUUGAUGAAUCUCACCGGCCUCGGUUUUCAAAUCCAUGAAACGGGAACGUCAACGGCGUGCCAAUCUAAGGGUUCUAGAGGAGGCGAGGAGGAGUUUUAACCGGAAGGUACUUCGAACGGCGUGGGGGCACACAGUCAGUGCUCAAGAGAUGCUAGCUCUCCUCGUGGGGGUGCCGUUAACUGCAGGCUUAUCGCACCUGCAAUUGCCUUCUCUCAGCAGAGGGGCCUCGGGUCAGCAGUGGGUGCGCGUCAGCCCCGGCAGCCACGGUGGCUAACGGUGGGCACCUUUGUCUCUGCUUCUGGGCUGUGGCAGCACCACGAGGCACCAGGAGGGGCCAUGGGGCCCGUCCCUCUUGCUUCCUCCGUGCCGCGGGGAGGCAGCGUGUGACCGGGAGGGCUCUGCUCCGGAACCGGUCCGGACUCGGGCCCUCAGCUGCAGCGCGACUGUUACCGGCUGGACCACGUUCUCCCAGACGAGAGCGGUCGGCAUCCAAACCCCUGGGGCCUCAGGUCGUGACCUUGUUUGGAGAUCGGGUCUUUGCAGAUGUAGUCAAGUUAAGACGAGCGCACACUGGAGAGCACGGGCCCUUUAACCUACCCUGACUGUGUCCUCGGAAGAGACGGCCACGUGGAGACACGGAGAUGCACAGUAAGCGCCCUGCGGGGACAGAGGCCACUGAAUGCCGCUGUCGCCGGAAGGCAGGGGAGAGCGGUGGGGAACAGACCUCCCUCAAGAGGGACCAAACACUCUUGGCCCCUCGAGUCUGGGGACUCCUGGCCUUGGGAACUGGGAGCCGAGAAAUUUCGGUCGGUUGUGUUUCCGCGGUACUUUGCGACGGCAGCCGCGGGGACCUAGGGUGAGCCGAGUGCCCCACGAUAGCCUCGGUCUCAUCUGGACAACGGGGCCGGGGGUGGGGGGGGGGGGGAUGUGUGGGAUUGCCACGCAGCAAGCCCGUGGGUGGCACACAGCUGACCACCCCCGCACGACCCACCUUGAGGAGCGUGAGCGGGAGGCGGAUGGGACACGCAUCUUUUUAAAACGAGACACGUGGCCGGAUUAAGCAAAAAACACUUUGUUCUCAGAUCCGCCUUUCCGAGAAGGGCCAGGUGCAGGCAACUUUUCCUUCCCACCCCCCCCCCCUUUUUUUUUUCACUUUAAUUUAAAAAAACUCUUUCUGACUGCCAGCGGAGCCUCUGCGUUUUUUUCCAUGCGGAUAUAAAAAUGCAUCUGGACUCCGAGCCGAAAUGGCCCAUUCAGAGCUUUACAACACACGCGUGCUCAGCUGGCGCGGCAGAGAAACAGCCUGACUGGGGGAGCCGGGGGUUUGAAGACGGGGGAGAGGAGUCAGUCGGGAGUCUGGUGUGGCGGGUACUCCGGCCCGGCGCCGGGGUCCCUGAGGAGCUGCGGUCCCGGGGACACGGGCGGGAGGGAGCGGCCACGAGGCAGCAUCUGGUGGAAGCCGGGAGCCGCGGCGAGGACAGGGGAGCAGAGCCCGGGAGGCGGGCCCAGGCGACAGGCCCUGACCCCGGGCUCCCUCCCUCCGUGCGGCCAUCAGCCUGGCGUUUCCUUCCUGCCCCUGGAGCCCUGUUCCUGUGCCACACAGAGCCCGGAGAGGUCCCCACUCGCCACAGGAGUUGCUAAGAACUCCCUCUCCUGGCCUCCCUCCGACAUCAACCCUUCCAAAUGCUCAUCUCCUCUUUAGAAGGGCUUCUGAUGGCAGGAGGGGAGGUGGCACAGCCACUGAGAGGGGGGGCUCUGGGCCCGGGCGACUUUGGUUCAAAUCCCUGCCGCGCCACUCACGAGCGAGCUGUGUGAGCUGGGGCAGGCCACUUAACGUCUCUGGGACACACUUCCUCGAGAGGCGGCAGCAAAGAAUGGAUAGGAGUCCAUGGACUGUGAAGUCUAGCACUUACAGCACCACCGCGGGCUGUCGUUCCUAUUAAGGCUGCCCUCGGUUCCCCUGAGGCCACCGAAGAGCAGGAAUAAUAUCCAGCGGGACACAAAAGCUCUUGUGCGUUUGGCGUCGGGAGUGCAGUGGGUGGCUCCCCCAAAACAGCAGGACCACCCUCCCUAGUUCCAGUCCCUUCUGGUCAAUAGGAGACCAGGCCGCUUUCCUCAGUGCCCGCUGCGUGGGUGGUGACAGCGACUCGAGGCUGAGAUCGGCCUUGGACAGUCAGUCCGGGCCUCACGGGGCUUUCAGACUCCGUGCACUCCGUCCCUGGGCCUUUGUAACAACACCUGCCCUGGCCUCGGAAGAGCUCCCUCAUCACAGCCGCCUCGGUGGCGGCCCAGCACAGGCCCCGCUCGCCUCACACAGACUGCCACCGGGCACCCUCCCCACGCCCUGCACACGCGGCUUCCGUUGCGGCACCUGCCCCGUUAACGUGUGCCGGCCUCCGCGGCUCAGCCUUGAACCUUAGAGGGAAGGCCUCUCUCCCUGCUGCCCCUAGUACAGUGCUCGGGGCAAAGUGUGCUCAGGAGAUCGAGUAGCUCCCCCUUCUCCGCAGGGGAUACGUUCUAGGACCCCAGUGGGUGCCCGAACCCACAGACGGUACCGAACCCCAUCUACGCUGUACUUUUCCUGCACACACACACCUGUGGUGAAGUUUAACUUCUAAAUCAGGCGUGUGACGUGGCGUGAGGCCACGCAGCCCGGGGAGGAGGGCCAUCUGCUUCAGGGCCACGGUUGAUCGUGGGUAACGAACCACAGAAAAGGAAACCGUGGAUGGGGGGUGGGGGGAGGGGCUGCUGUAUUCACAGAGCCGUAUUCAAGUUGGUCCUGGCUAGAGACGGCGGGCUGGCUUAAAUAACCCGCCGUGGUCCCUCCACGUCCCUACGAUACAGACCAUGAAGACGCAGGAGCGAGGAGUAUGUCGUCUCUGGCUGCCAUGUGCACGGGACGGCCCGCCUUGCGGUUAGGACGAGACCUGGUGUGGACACGCUCUUGGGUCUGGCAACGGGGAGGGGAAGGCCUGCUCCUGACGUGUAUGACUCUGGGGCCCUCGGGGACGGGAGCAGGUGCCCAAGCCACCAGGACCCGGGAGACCGCAGAUCACCCGCUCGGCUCACUGUGCAACUCUAAGGGUGCGUUCACUUGUCCGGGAGCAGAAUGCCAUAGAAGGGGGGGCCUCUGCCCUCCGGAGCCACUUCCUGCCAUCCUCUGUGGCAACAGGGCUGGCCGCUCCUACUCCUCUAUCGGCCCCCACUCUCUGUGCUUUUGCAGGCCACUCCCACGGACCACGUGACUCGGGCUCUCGCCCUCUGGCUUCCACGUAGGUGAUGCCCGGAGUCCUGGAGGGAGGGAGGAAAGGGGUGGGGGUGCCGUUCCCCUGCCCCCUCCCGCCAGGACUACAGCUCCUGCCGGCGGCCCCUCCCCUCUCACCGGUCCCCCAGCCCUACUUAUUCCUCCAUAAAUCUCUCCUAGACCAUCGGGGGUGGGGUUGGGGUGUCUGCCGACCCGGGGGGCUGCCCGAAGUGCCUCUGCCUCGACCCAGGGCAGAUGGGCCUUGCGCUCCAGACAGCAGGUCCCAGGGCCUGGCCCUGCUCCGAGAGUUGAGGCCCACUGAGGAGAGCUCGGGCAGGGCCGGCUGGGGUGCGGGCUGGCUCCCGCCGUCAUCUGGUCCCUGGCUCGGCUGUCCCAGAAUCACCCCCCUUUGAUCUCUGACCCGAGCCACCAACUGUGGCCCCCGAGAGCCCUAGCCUCGACCGCCUCUUCUGCGUCCCCCCGGAAGGAAAUCUGCGAGGGCAGAGCGGGGAGUGACUGUGACCAGGCCUGGCAGCCAUCUUUCCAGAACAGGAAAGACGCUGGAAGGCUGCCAGCGUGGCGCUGGCCUGACCUUUCUGCAGCUCUCCCUGGAGACACAACUCCUCUUCGCGGCAACAAAAGUCCACGCGAUGCCCUUGGUGGAGCCGCCGUCCCAAGGGCGCCGGGCCAGGCUGAGGACGGGACUCCUGUCUUCUCGACAGUUCCCGGAGGACCCGCCAGGAACCAACGCCACACGAGGGGACCCAGAGGUGAGGCGCCACCUCUGCCCUCUGGAGGGGCAAAAGAGCCACCGGGAAAGAUCCAAUGCCGCCAGGUCGCCGACGGUCAGAAACGCUGCAAAAUGGGGGCACUUGGACCUCCUGCGGCUGCCGAGAGGAGUAAGUAGGACAGCAACUAUUCACUGACCCCAGCGCCCGGGGCACGGGAAGGGCCUGGGUCCUCGCACCUGCUGUUGCCAUCGGCAGUGAAGUCACCAGAGGAGCUCCUGGAGGGGAGAAAGGUGUCCCGCUCAGUCGGGCUCGUCACCUUUCCCUGGUAAUGUGUUCCGAGCACCUGGUGAAUCUGACGUGAGGACACUAGCACCCUAGGUCUUCUCAUGUGGGCAGAGGCCCGGAGGGAGGGACAGGCUGAGUCGAGGGGCACCGCAUGGCACUGCUUAUGCCCUGGUGACGACGAAGGAGGCACGCCUGCUAGUCUGAGGAGAGUGUGGCUUGUCCCCACCCCCCCGGCUUCUCAGCCCAGAAAUGUGUUGGCUGAGCCUGAAUCCCGGCCUUCAGAUGCAAGGCUCAGGAUUCAAA